rnacentral:tRNA from 1 species
ACCCCGUGGCCGAGUGGAUAACGCGGUGGCGUUUGAAGCGAACGGUAUUGGGUUCGAGUCUCAGAGUGAACA